ensembl:antisense Gm17120 predicted gene 17120
AUCAAGACCUUGGCUGUGACUGACCCCAGGAAGGCACAAUGGUGACUAUGCUGAGAGGAGGGAAUAGACUCUGCUGUGCUUCACAAGGGGUGGGCCCACUCUUCAAGCCUGAAAACAGCCUGGUGAGAAAUCAGGAGUAAACGCUUAGAACUUUCUAGAAUCAAGAAAACACCGGUCUUUAAUACUGGCCUUAACCUUUGAUGACAAAGAAGCCUUAACCUUUGAUGACAAAGACCUUCAGAUGGCAGAGGAUGGAUGGUCUCCUCCCGAAGGCAGUCUUCUUCUGCCAAGCUCCCUAAUCUUCUUUACAGACUCAGGAGGCUCCAGACCAGCACUCUAGCCAAGAAGUUCCCACCAGCAGGCAGUGACUAUGAAACAGAGUGGCUGACUUCCAGUCUCUGGGAGGUCCAUUCUUAGGCCACUGGGGCAGAGCCUCCCCUCUUGAGGCAAUUCCUGAUGAAAGUCCCCAGGGCCACCAGGGGGAUGCACAUGGUAGAUGAAGCCACCAGCAAACCAAUGACAGCUAGUGCAUGUGGGGGGUAAUCCUUGGUCACCAACUGCCCCUGGGGGAAGAGACUGAGCAUCAGGGAAAGGUUCCUCCUAUCAAAUACAAAAGAAAUACUCACCCAAGCCCUCUUCUAUGGAGGGAAAGAUGCUCUACAGUGAGAAGAGGCCUGCGAUGCUCCAUGGCUCUCCAUGCUCUCCACAGCAAGCCUUCAGAGGAACUAUGCCCUCUAUAUAUG